UAUAAUCCACCAUCAAGAGAAGUUCAGGC
rnacentral:piRNA from 1 species